UAGGGAAUUUUCGGCAAUGGGGGAAACCCUGACCGAGCAACGCCGCGUGAGUGAAGAAGGCCUUCGGGUUGUAAAGCUCUGUUGUAAGGGAAGAAUAGCAUGAGGAGGGAAUGCCUCAUGUGUGACGGUACCUUACCAGAAAGCCACGGCUAACUACGUGCCAGCAGCCGCGGUAAUACGUAGGUGGCAAGCGUUAUCCGGAAUUAUUGGGCGUAAAGGGAGCGCAGGCGGUUUAUCAAGUUUGUGGUUAAAGUUCGGGGCUCAACCCCGUGAUGCCAUAGAAACUGGUAGACUAGAGUGCAGGAGAGGUAAGUGGAAUUCCAUGUGUAGCGGUAAAAUGCGUAGAUAUAUGGAGGAACACCAGUGGCGAAGGCGGCUUACUGGCCUGUAACUGACGCUGAGGCUCGAAAGCGUGGGGAGCAAAUA
rnacentral:rRNA from 1 species